GAAGUUGACCAAAACAGUCGCUGUUUAAUUUUUACUCACUAAAAAUUAAAAAGAGGAAAGUCCGGGCUCCAUAGAGCAGGGUGCCAGAUAACAUCUGGAAAGCGAAAGCUUAUGACUAGUGCAACAGAAAAUAAACCACCUGUUUUUUAUGAUUUAAAAAAUAUGGAAAGGGUGAAAAGGUGUGGUAAAAGCACACCGCAUAAUUGGUAACAAUUUAUGGCCUGGUAAACUCCACCCGGAGCAAAGCCAAAUAUAGGAGAUUUUUUCGUAUUGCUCGUACUAUACAAACCUGGGUAGGCUGCUUGAAUUAAUAAGUGAUUAUUAAUCUAGAUGAAUGACUGUUAAAAUACAGAACCCGGCUUACAGGUCAACUUCCAAA
rnacentral:RNase_P_RNA from 1 species